CUCCCGCUGCCCUCGUGCGCUGUUUGCUUUCCGAUCAUCGCUGUUGCGAUCCAUUGCCUUCCUUUUUUGCUUGGAGUUUUUCUCCGCUGCAGUCGAGGCUAAGUUCGGCUCCCGUGGGAGCCCGAACGGAGAAUCCCUCUUGAAGUUGUGGGCGAAGCCCAGCUCUCGUAGGAGUCAGGGCGAAGUCUUCCUGCAAUCAAGAUUAAAGGCGAAGUCCAGAUCCCGUAGGAGUCCGGACAAGGCCUAUCGACAGUUGCUGUUGUCAGCGGAGCCCGGCUCCCGUAGGAGUCCGGGCGGGGUUGUCCUGAUGUCGGCGAUGGAGCCCGGCUCCUGUAGGAGUCUGGGUGAAGUUUUCCUGGGCGUC
rnacentral:lncRNA from 1 species